AACUUCUUGUAUAAGCACUGUGCUAAAAUUGCAAAAACUAGGACCAUAUCUUGGUGUUUGUAAUAAUGCUAGCAAGUACAUACAAGAAUAAACAUAACAGCAUUAGAUUGUGAAGACUGGGGUGAGGUCAGGUGCAGUGGCU
ensembl:snoRNA